CCGCCCGACGGGGUGCAGCAGGCGCGAAACCUUUACACUGCACGCACGUGCGAUAAGGGGACUCCGAGUGCGAGGGCAUAUCGUCCUCGCUUUNGUGUACCGUAGGGUGGUACACCAACAAGGGCUGGGCAAGACCGGUGCCAGCCGCCGCGGUAAUACCGGCAGCCCGAGUGAUGACCGAUCUUAUUGGGCCUAAAGCGUCCGUAGCUGGCUGCGCAAGUCCGUCGGGAAAUCCACUCGCCCAACGAGUGGCCGUCCGACGGAAACUGCACACCUUGGGACCGGAAGGCUCGAAGGGUACGUGCGGGGUAGGAGUGAAAUCCUAUAAUCCCGCACGGACCACCGAUGGCGAAAGCACUUCGAGAAAACGGAUCCGACAGUGAGGGACGAAAGCCAGGGUCUCCAACCGGAUUAGAUACCCGGGUAGUCCUGGCCGUAAACAAUGUUCGUUAGGUAUGACACAGACUACGUGU
rnacentral:rRNA from 1 species